UUCCUGAUGUUCAGCCGUAAUCUCCUUUCUUACAACUUGAAGCCAUUGGUCCAAGUCCUACCCUCUGGAGUAGGAGAAAGCAAGCUUGCUCCAUCUUUGAUGAGACAGCCCUUGAGAUAUUUGAAGAUGGCUAUCACAUCUCCGCUCAGUCUCCUCUUUUCCAGGCUAAACAUACCCAGCUCCUUCAAGCAUGAAG